UCUCUUUAUCUCUUAGUAGUAUAUAUAGAUAUUAGAGCUUCCUUAAAAGCUUCUGAUCUGAACUCUGAGCACUGAAAUUUAUAGAGAAGAAGACUGAAGAAAACCCAUCCAGAAAAGGAAGGAAAACUAUUUGAAGAAGAAAUCAGAAUCGGCAAUCGGAUUAUUGACGGAUGCAAAGGUGUUAAUGCGGUGUAUUUGGUUGGAGUUGGUGGAUUUAGCAACUCGAAAAGACUUCCAUCUUUAUAAGGCGCACUUCUCAAAGUUAUUGUUCGAAGUUGGUUGAUUUUAGCAGCUUGAAAAGACUCUUAAUAAAUUGCUUUUGUCAAGUUCUUCAUGUCCAUUGCUUUUGGGUGCAAACUUGCUCAAAAUUCUCCAGAGAUAACGAGGGGUUUUGGUAUCCUGUUCUAACCGUGCUACAUUGAGCUACAGUCUACAGUUGGAGCUGCAGCUGCUACAUAGAAAAGCUGUGUGGUCGGAACUUGGAACUUCACUGGUUGGAUUGUGAGCUUGUUCAUGUCAAAUGGGUUGCUAAGUGAUGCUGUAGUGCUAGUUUACUGCGAUCUCUGGGCUUGCUAACCAUUUAAAUCAAAUAAUGGAGUCUGAAACUCUGACUAGAGAAUAUAGGCAGCCCAGCAUGCUUCAGCGAGUACUUUCUGCUUCUGUGCCAAUGCUGUUGAUUGCAGUUGGCUAUGUUGAUCCUGGGAAAUGGGCUGCAAUGGUUGAUGGAGGAGCCCGAUUUGGGUUUGAUUUGGUCAUGCUAGUACUCUUGUUCAAUUUUGCUGCCAUUCUGUGCCAGUAUCUGUCUGCUUGUAUAGCCUUGGUUACAGACCGAGAUCUUGCGCAGAUUUGCAGUGAAGAAUAUGACAAAGUUACAUGCAUAUUCCUAGGAAUUCAAGCUGAGGUUUCGAUGAUUGCUUUGGACCUCACAAUGGUUUUGGGCACUGCCCAUGGGCUUAAUGUUGUGUUUGGAGUUGACCUGUUUAGCUGUGUUUUCCUGACUGCAACCGGUGCCAUUUUGUUUCCACUGCUUGCUUCUCUCUUUGACAAUGGCAGUGCAAAAUUCUUAUGUAUUGGCUGGGCAAGCUCUGUACUGCUCUCUUAUGUUUUUGGAGUGGUUAUAACUCUACCUGAAACUCCAUUCUCCAUUGGUGGUGUGCUGAAUAAGUUUAGUGGAGAGAGUGCAUUUGCAUUGAUGAGUCUUCUUGGAGCAAGUAUUAUGCCUCACAAUUUUUACCUCCAUUCUUCUAUUGUACAGCAAGGUAAGGAAUCAACAGAGCUUUCCAGGGGAGCUCUGUGUCAGGACCAUUUUUUUGCCAUUGUUUUCAUAUUCAGUGGCAUUUUCCUGGUCAACUAUGCCGCGAUGAAUUCAGCAGCGAAUGUGUCUUACAGUACUGGCCUUUUGUUGCUGACAUUUCAGGACACAUUGUCAUUGCUCGAUCAGGUUUUCAGAAGCUCAGUUGCACCAUUCACCAUAAUGCUGGUUACAUUUAUUUCCAAUCAAGUUACACCACUAACUUGGGAUCUUGGUAGACAAGCAGUUGUGCAUGACUUAUUUGGAAUGGACAUCCCAGGCUGGCUUCAUCAUGUGACGAUCAGAGUUAUUUCCAUUGUCCCAGCUCUUUAUUGUGUAUGGAGUUCAGGAGCUGAAGGCCUAUAUCAGUUACUUAUACUGACACAGGUUGUGGUGGCUCUUGUCCUUCCAUCUUCUGUCAUACCCCUGUUCAGAGUUGCUUCUUCCAGAUCAAUUAUGGGUAUCCACAAAAUUUCUCAGUUAAUGGAGUUCUUAUCUCUUGGCACAUUUAUUGGCUUACUUGGCCUAAAGAUUAUAUUUGUCAUAGAGAUGAUAUUUGGAAAUAGUGAUUGGGUUAAUAAUUUGAAGUGGAAUAUUGGGAGUAGUGUGUCUACUCCAUAUUUUUUUCUCCUCAUCGCAGCCUCUUUAUGUCUUUGUCUGAUGCUGUGGUUAGCAGUUACUCCUCUGAAAUCUGCAAGUUCCAGGUUCGAUGCUCAGGCGUUUCUGCAAACGCAUGUGCCUGAGCCAUAUUCGGAGUGUAAUCAACUUGGUGCGAGUAAUGCUAUGUUUGGUCUAGUAGAAGGAUCCUCCCAAAAGCAAGAAGGUGCAUUUCAUGUGGAAAAAUCCUUGGUAAGCCAUCCAGAUUUAUCAACUAAAGAUCCUGAUCAACUCUUGCCAGAAUCUCUCUUGGAUUUUGAAAAGGUCCAUCAGUUGGCUACUAUUGAUGAGAGCAAAUCUGAAACAACAUUUUCAGCUCCUGCUGUCGUUCAUCCUGAGGUACCUGUAUCAGCAGGAGCAAGUCCCAGUGUGAAAAGUGUUUGUAAUGAGGUUUCUGGUGUUGUAUCAGUGGAUACCAGUGUCUUCAAUACUGAAACUGUGGAUGUCGCAGAGAAGACUCUCAGAAUUGAAGGGGACAUGGCAAAUGACAGGGAUGAUGGAGAUUCGUGGGAAGAGCCUGAAGAGGCAAUCAAAGGAGUAUCUGAGAACGCUCAAUCUUUUAUUUCUGAUGGUCCGGGGUCAUACAAAAGUCUAAGUGGAAAACUAGAGGACACGGGGAGUGGUACAGGAAGUCUAUCAAGAUUAGCAGGUCUUGGUCGUGCAGCUAGGAGGCAGUUAACAGAAGCUCUAAAUGAGUUUUGGGGGCAGCUUUUUGAUUACCAUGGCGUGGCAACAGCAGAAGCGAAGUCCAAGAAACUGGAUAUAAUACUUGGUCUGGAUUCAAAGAUGAAUCCAAAACCUGCCCCUGCAUCAUUAAAAGUUGAAAGCAGUGCGUAUAUUCCAUCGGGGAGUGCAAGGAUACCAGAGCCUCUGAUCAACUCGCAUGUGUACUCUCCCAAGCAGCAAUUUGCGUCAAACAUUGUGGACUCUGCUUAUAGAGUCCCAAAGGAGCCAUCUUCGACAUCUUCUAUGUGGUCUAACCAUAUGAAAUUAGUAGGUGCAUAUGUGCAAAGUUCCAACAGCAACAUGCUUGACUCAGGGGAGAGGCGCUAUUCUAGUAUGCGGAUUCCAGCGACUUCUGCUGGCUAUGAUCAGCAGCCUGCCACUGUGCAUGGAUAUCAGAUUACUGCUUACCUUAAUCAACUUGCGAAAGAAAGAGGAUCUGAUUAUUUAAAUGGGCAACUGGAGUCACCAUCUCCUCGUUCUGUAUCAUCACUGACGUCAAACUAUGCAGAACCAUUGGCUCGUGUUUCGGGGCAAAAACCUCAGAGUGGAGUCAGUAGUCGAGCACCACCUGGUUUUGGAAAUGUCCCUGUAGGCCGAAAUAAUUCGAUGCAGCCCACUAACACUACUUCCGUCGACCAUAGCUCUACUGAAACUGCUGAAAGCGUGGCUGGUUCAGCCAACUCUAAGAAGUACUACAGCUUGCCUGAUAUCUCAGGGCGCUAUGUUCCUCGCCAAGAUUCUAUAGUGUCAGAUGCGAGAGCUCAAUGGUACAAUUCCAUGGGAUUCGGACAAUCUGGUGGUCGAUCUACAUACGAACAAGCCUAUAUGAGUGGUUCACUAAGGGCAGGUGGUCCUCAGAGGUAUGAACAUUCUCCUAAAGUCUGCAGAGAUGCAUUCUCCUUGCAGUACAGCUCCAAUUCAGGGACUGGAUCCCUGUGGUCUAGACAGCCUUUUGAGCAAUUUGGUGUAGCUGGUAAGCCAGAUGUUGGUAGUGGCGAUCAUGGAACUGUGCAGAGUUCCUCUGCUCAAGAGAGUACAUCUACGGUUGACUUGGAAGCUAAGCUGCUUCAGUCUUUCAGAAGUUGUAUUGUGAAACUUUUGAAACUGGAAGGAUCUGAGUGGUUAUUUAGGCAAGAUGAUGGGGCUGAUGAGGAUCUUAUAGGUCGGAUUGCUGCAAGAGAGAAAUUUCUCUAUGAAGCUGAAACUAGGGAGAUAAGUAGAUUGACCAACAUUGGUGAAUCACACUUCUCUUCCAACAGGAAACCCGGUUCUGCCCCAAAACCUGAAGAGAUGGAUUACACCAAGUUCUUGGUGAUGUCAGUUCCCCACUGCGGAGAAGGUUGUGUUUGGAAAGUAGAUCUGAUUAUAAGCUUCGGUGUGUGGUGCAUUCACAGAAUUCUUGAGCUUUCACUUAUGGAAAGUAGGCCAGAGUUGUGGGGCAAAUAUACCUAUGUUCUCAACCGUCUUCAGGGCAUAGUAGAUCUGGCAUUUUCAAAGCCCCAUUCUCCGACGAGCCAUUGUUUUUGUCUUCAAAUUCCGGCUGGCCGCCAGCAAAAGGCAAGCCCCCCUCCAAUUUCUAAUGGAAACUUGCCGCCACAAGCAAAACAGGGUCGAGGAAAAUGCACGACUGCAGCAAUGCUCUUAGAGAUGAUCAA
rnacentral:misc_RNA from 1 species